rnacentral:sRNA from 1 species
AAUUGAUGGUGACAGAAGAGAGUGAGCACA